CAAAGGCCAUCUCUCUGUCUGCUCCCCACCAUCACAGCAAAUAUCAGCAAAAGAUCUGAAGCUCACAGUUGUGGGGGUCUAGUUAAAGAUGACUACCAAAAACAGGUUCUGCAGUUGUACAGCCUAUGGUUUCUGGCUUCCUGUAUCCACAGACCCUCUGGUGAAGGCAAAUGAAGCACAUUCCCUUCCACAUGAAGGCCCAGACAUCUUUACAGACCUGCUCCCAUUGAAGUAAAUGAGACACCGAUCAGACAACAGGCCAUCAGCCUUGAUGGACCAUUAGGAAGAAACAAUAAGACUUUGAAGAUACUAAUUUCUCUCCUUCCUGAGAAGUGUCCUGGGAUGUGGCUGUGACACUACUAGGUCAGGUGGUCCUGUCACCUGGAAACAAACACCAUCAUGGACUUCUAAGUAAUUUCCCACUAAAUGUAGGGGGAGGUCAAGACCGGGAAACAAAAGAUUCCCACCUUAUGUAAAUCUUAUUUAAGGCUGGGGAGUAAGGCAAAUAGGACUCUUCUCCAUUGCUUUCCUGAUCAGGAAGAAAGACUGCUGAAAGUACCUGGAAGAACAAAGGAACUGGGUGGUGGGAAAGGCAAGGGCUGAGUCCAGACUAAGACAGGAGUCUAGUAUGUAAAAAGAAAUAACUGGAACUCUAAGCUACAGAAACUCUGCAACUUUCCUAAAACAAGGGUGAGAAAUUACUUCUUAAAACCUGUUUCUUUAAGAUCUUAAGCUUAGUAUGCGUGUUUUGCUUUAUUUGCUUGGUAAUCUCCUUGUUCUGUUUGCUAUCCCUUAUAAUCACUUAAA